UACGUAGGGGGGCAAGCGUUGUCCGGAUUUAUUGGGCGUAAAGAGCGUGUAGGCGGCCAUACAGGUCAGCUGUGAAAACUCGAGGCUCAACCUCGAGACGUCGGUUGAAACCGUAUGGCUAGAGUCCGGAAGAGGAGAGUGGAAUUCCCGGUGUAGCGGUGAAAUGCGCAGAUAUCGGGAAGAACACCCGUGGCGAAGGCGGCUCUCUGGGACGGUACUGACGCUGAGGCGCGAUAGCGUGGGGAGCAAACGGG
rnacentral:rRNA from 1 species